rnacentral:rRNA from 1 species
UACGUAGGGGGCAAGCGUUGUCCGGAAUCAUUGGGCGUAAAGCGCGUGUAGGCGGCCCGGUAAGUCCGCUGUGAAAGUCGGGGGCUCAACCCUCGAAUGCCGGUGGAUACUGUCGGGCUAGAGUGCGGAAGAGGCGAGUGGAAUUCCUGGUGUAGCGGUGAAAUGACGCAGAUAUCAGGAGGAACACCAAUUGCGAAGGCAGCUCGCUGGGACGUUACUGACGCUGAGAACGCGAAAGCCUAGGGGAGCAAACAGG